UGUUUUUUAAAAUAGAAUUAACUUAAACUUAUAAUUUAUCUGUCAUUUUGCUUUAUAUUCUGAGAAUUUAUUUAAAUUUGUUUUUAAGAUGUUCUUCAUUUCUAUAAAAUUUUUACAUAGUAAGGCAUCUUUGUUUUGUUUUCCUUCAAUUUUACCUCUCUAUUUUUCUUUUAGUUUCUCUCUAUGUUUUCUACUCAACUCUUAGAAAUGAUUAGUUUGUAAUUUGCCUCUCUCUCUCUCUCUCUCACCUUUUAAGGUUUUAUUUUUUCAUAUUAAAAAUUCCCUUCUAAUGUCUGGUGAUCCUCAAUGGCAACUUCUGCAUUUAAUUGAAAGGAUAUCUGUUUUUAAGCAUCGUGAACGCAGCGCUGUAGGUCGGAGUGCAUCCCAUCCCAUUGUGGAUGCGGCGCUGUGGGUGGGAGUUCAUUCCAUCCCAUUGUGGAUGCAGCACUGUGGAUGGACAUUCAUUCCAUUCCAAAGAACAUAACCUGGAGGGUGUGGAGGAAUGGUCUGAGGUGCUGCCUCUUGGGCAUAACACGGCUGUUUCACUCAGGACCUUGCAGCAGCUAUGGCUCUCUGCACAAGAUCUGGCUCGGGAUCACUGUGGAAGAGGAGACAGAGAGACUGUAAGGGUCAGACAUUGUGAAUGAACACAAGAAGAACACCCAUCCAUGAAUAUAUGGCCAACACAAAUUCGACUUGAUGUGUAAGAAAAUGCAAAAGAGAAGACAAAGUUGGGUGUGUAGUAAAGGGACUUAUAUCUGAGAGAAGAUGGGAGAGGAGUGAAUGUGGCCAAAACUCAUUGCAUGAAAUUCUCGAAGAAAUAAUAAAACAAAAAGUCUCAUACAGAAGCACAAAAGACAAAAUCAGAGCAAUCCUAAACAAAGUAACAAUGGCAGGAAUAUGCCACUACCUGACUUCCAACGGUCAUAUUCUCAAGAGCCAUAGUAACAAAAAGAAGCAUCAUAUUUCUCUAAAGACAGACCUACAGAUCAACAGAGAAGAACUGAAGGUAUAAUAAUAGUACAGCUCCAGAAAGUUGUGUUAAUAUUAAACACAUGAAGAGAUGCUGGUCAUCUGCCAGUGGUGCUUGCUUCCUUGUCUGAACCUCUGCAGAUUCAUAUGACCAUCCCAUGUAGCCUCUGGAGAGACACUGAGCAGAUCAGACCCAGAAUGCUGCAUACCAGAGUUCUAGCUUUCUGAUUUUUGUAUGGUUUUCUAUCUUUUCCAUUUCUCCUCUGAAAUUACAU